rnacentral:rRNA from 1 species
UAUGUAGGGUGCAAGCGUUAAUCGGAAUUACUGGGCGUAAAGCGUGCGCAGGCGGUUUUGUAAGUCUGUCGUGAAAGCCCCGGGCUCAACCUGGGAAUUGCGUUGGAGACUGCAAGGCUAGAAUCUGGCAGAGGGGGGUAGAAUUCCACGUGUAGCAGUGAAAUGCGUAGAGAUGUGGAGGAACACCGAUGGCGAAGGCAGCCCCCUGGGUCAAGAUUGACGCUCAUGCACGAAAGCGUGGGGAGCAAACAGG